UCGUAACAAGGUUUCCGUAGGUGAACCUGCGGAAGGAUCAUUACAAAUCUCGAGUUGGUCCCCUAGUGGGGCUGACACAUUAGCACAAGGCCGCAAGGUCUUGAUGUCUACGCUUGUAUGUUUGACAGAGUUUAAAUUGUGACCUUAAAAAUGACAACUUUUAACAACGGAUCUCUUGGCUCUUGCAACGAUGAAGAACGCAGUAAAGUGCGAUAUGUAGUGCGAUUUGCAUGAAUCUGUGAGUCAUCUAAUCUUUGAACGCAACUUGCGCCUCUCUGAGGCAUGUCUGUUUGAGUGCCGCAUACUCUAUGCAGCAAUGCGAUUUGAUCCAUGUCGACACUAGACUGGGUCUAAAUGUAGCCAGAUAAUGGUCUGUGAGACUAGCCCGAGUGCUAAGCAUUCUUGGUCCUAGGCUCCACUUGCCACAAUCUAUCUAUCUAUUUGGCCUCAAAUCAGGCAAGACUACCCGCUGAACUUAAGCAUAUCAGUAAGCGGAGGAAAAGAAACUAACAAGGAUUCCCCUAGUAACGGCGAGUGAAGCGGGAAAAGCUCAAAGUUAAAAUCUCGGCGCUCCGCGUCGCGAAUUGUAGUCUAAAGAGGGUGAUCUUUAGGACGGAGAGGGUGUCCAAGUCCCUUGGAAUAGGGCGCCAGAGAGGGUGAGAGCCCCGUCAUGGCAUCCGAUCCGUCUCAAGUGAGAGCCUCUCAACGAGUCGAGUUGUUUGGGAAUGCAGCUCAAAGUGGGUGGUAAAUCUCAUCUAAGGCUAAAUACUGGCAAGAGACCGAUAGCGAACAAGUACCGUGAGGGAAAGAUGAGAAGCACCUUGAAAAGGGAGUUAAACGGUGCGUGAAAUUGUUAAAAGGGAAACGAUAGAGACCAGUGUUGACGUGCGCUUCAAGCCGGUGCCUUGGUGCCGGUAGCGAGCGUGCGUCGAGUCAAUGCCAGUUGCAGCAGCCGGAUACGACAGACAGGAAGAUGGUGUCGUCCUUCGGGGCGGCUCUUUAUAGACUGGCUGGACUACGGCCGCCGCGACCGGAAGCCUGAUGACGCUAGGGGACUGGUGGGGAACGGCGAGCGGACAACUUGUUGACCGUGCGCCCUCACUCUCCACGAACCAAAGCCCAGUUGGGUGCCUUUGACGAAAUGGUCUUUAACGACC
rnacentral:rRNA from 1 species